rnacentral:rRNA from 1 species
UACGGAGGGUGCAAGCGUUGCUCGGAAUUAUUGGGCGUAAAGGGUAGGUAGGUGGUCUCGUUUGUCUGGGGUGAAAGCCUUGAGCUUAACUCAAGAAGUGCCCCAGAAACGGCGCGACUAGAGUAUUGGAGAGGGUCGUGGAAUUCCCGGUGUAGCGGUGAAAUGCGUAGAUAUCUGGAGGAACACCUGUGGCGAAAGCGGCGCACUGGACCACAACUGACGCUGAGGCGCGAAAGCUAGGGGAGCAAACAGG